GGAGCGAACAGGAUUAGAUACCCUGGUAGUCCACGCCGUAAACGUUGGGCGCUAGGUGUGGGGCUCAUUCCACGAGUUCCGUGCCGCAGCUAACGCAUUAAGCGCCCCGCCUGGGGAGUACGGCCGCAAGGCUAAAACUCAAAGGAAUUGACGGGGACCCGCACAAGCGGUGGAGCAUGUGGUUUAAUUCGAGGCAACGCGAAGAACCUUACCAAAUCUUGACAUCCUCUGACCUCUCUAGAGAUAGAGUUUUCCCCUUCGGGGGACAGAGUGACAGGUGGUGCAUGGUUGUCGUCAGCUCGUGUCGUGAGAUGUUGGGUUAAGUCCCGCAACGAGCGCAACCCUUAAGCUUAGUUGCCAUCAUUAAGUUGGGCACUCUAAGUUGACUGCCGGUGACAAACCGGAGGAAGGUGGGGAUGACGUCAAAUCAUCAUGCCCCUUAUGAUUUGGGCUACACACGUACUACAAUGCUACGGACAAAGGGCAGCAAGCAUGCGAAUGCAAGCAAAUCCCAGAAACCGUGGCUCAGUUCAGAUUGCAGGCUGCAAC
rnacentral:rRNA from 1 species